rnacentral:rRNA from 1 species
GAUGAACGCUAGCGGCAGGCCUAAUACAUGCAAGUCGAACGGAUAUAUGUUUUUCGGAAUAUAUAUUAGUGGCGCACGGGUGAGUAACACGUACAUAACUUGCCCUCAAGCGGGGGAUAGCCUUGGGAAACUGAGAGUAAUACCCCAUAGAAUUAUUGGACGGCAUCGUUUGAUAAUUAAAACUACGGUGUUUGGGGAUAGAUGUGCGUCUGAUUAGCUAGUUGGUGAGGUAACUGCUCACCAACGGACGGACGAUCAGUAGGGGGCGGUGAGAGCGUGGCCCCCGACCACGGGUACGUGAGACACGGACCCGGA